GAUGAACGCUGGCGGCGUGCCUAAUACAUGCAAGUCGAGCGAACAGACGAGGAGCUUGCUCCUCUGACGUUAGCGGCGGACGGGUGAGUAACACGUGGAUAACCUACCUAUAAGACUGGGAUAACUUCGGGAAACCGGAGCUAAUACCGGAUAAUAUAUUGAACCGCAUGGUUCAAUAGUGAAAGACGGUUUUGCUGUCACUUAUAGAUGGAUCCGCGCCGCAUUAGCUAGUUGGUAAGGUAACGGCUUACCAAGGCAACGAUGCGUAGCCGACCUGAGAGGGUGAUCGGCCACACUGGAACUGAGACACGGUCCAGACUCCUACGGGAGGCAGCAGUAGGGAAUCUUCCGCAAUGGGCGAAAGCCUGACGGAGCAAAGCCGCGUGAGUGAUGAAGGUAUUCGGAUCGUAAAACUCUGUUAUUAGGGAAGAACAAAUGUGUAAGUAACUAUGCACGUCUUGACGGUACCUAAUCAGAAAGCCACGGCUAACUACGUG
rnacentral:rRNA from 1 species